GACGAACGCUGGCGGCGUGCCUAACACAUGCAAGUCGAGCGUGAACCCUGCGAAUGAAACUUCGGUCGAUUUUGCAGGGGGAAAGCGGCGGACGGGUGAGUAACGCGUAGGUAACCUGCCCCAUACUGAGGGAUAGCCUCGGGAAACCGGGAUUAAUACCUCAUAACACCGUAUAUUCGCAUGGAUGUGCGGUCAAAGAUUUAUCGGUAUGGGAUGGGCCUGCGUCUGAUUAGCUGGUUGGUGGGGUAACGGCCUACCAAGGCGACGAUCAGUAGCCGACCUGAGAGGGUGAUCGGCCACAUUGGAACUGAGACACGGUCCAAACUCCUACGGGAGGCAGCAGUGGGGAAUAUUGCACAAUGGGCGAAAGCCUGAUGCAGCAACGCCGCGUGAGCGAAGAAGGCCUUUGGGUCGUAAAGCUCUGUCGGGUAGGAAGAUAAUGACGGUACUACCCGAGGAAGCCCCGGGCUAACUACGUG
rnacentral:rRNA from 1 species